GGCAGUCGGAUAGCUGCGUCUUGGAAAGGAAAAUCCAAAGAUGAGGAAAGUCCGGGCUUCACGGAAACAAGAUACCAGAUAACGUCUGGCUGGAGAAAUCCACGGGAAAGUGCCGCAGAAAGUUACCGCCGAGCGUGUUUCGGUAAGGUUGAAAAGGCGAGGUAAGAGCUCACCGCGUAAGCAGUAAUGUUUAUGGCAUAGGUAAACCCUAUCUGAUGUAAGACCAAAUGAGGAGGCUUCGGUUUUUCCGAAUGCAAGGAGAGUUUCCGCUCCGCUCCAGAGGUGGGUCGCACCAGCCGGAUGGCGACAUCCGGCGCAGAUGAAUAGCUAUCGCACAAAUCUUUGCCAUUAAAGGUAAAGCAAAUCGUGUACAGAACUCGGCUUAUAGAUUGCCUU
rnacentral:RNase_P_RNA from 1 species